ACCGCGAGGUGGAGCCAAUCCCAGAAAGCCGAUCCCAGUCCGGAUUGGAGUCUGCAACUCGACUCCAUGAAGUCGGAAUCGCUAGUAAUCGCGGAUCAGCUAUGCCGCGGUGAAUACGUUCCCGGGCCUUGUACACACCGCCCGUCACACCAUGGGAGUGGGUUGCUCCAGAAGGCGUUAGUCUAACCGCAAGGGGGACGACGCCCACGGAGUGGUCCAUGACUGGGGUGAAGUCGUAACAAGGUAGCCGUAUCGGAAGGUGCGGCUGGAUCACCUCCUUUC
rnacentral:rRNA from 1 species